UAGGGAAUCUUCGGCAAUGGGGGGAACCCUGACCGAGCAACGCCGCGUGAGUGAAGAAGGUUUUCGGAUCGUAAAGCUCUGUUGUUAAGGAAGAACGAGUGUGAGAAUGGAAAGUUCAUGCUGUGACGGUACUUAACCAGAAAGGGACGGCUAACUACGUGCCAGCAGCCGCGGUAAUACGUAGGUCCCGAGCGUUGUACGGAUUUAUUGGGCGUAAAGCGAGCGCAGGCGGUUAGAAAAGUCUGAAGUGAAAGGCAGUGGCUCAACCAUUGUAGGCUUUGGAAACUGUUUAGCUUGAGUGCAGAAGGGGAGAGUGGAAUUCCAUGUGUAGCGGUGAAAUGCGUAGUUAGAUGGAGGAACACCGGUGGCGAAAGCGGCUCUCUGGUCUGUAACUGACGCUGAGGCUCGAAAGCGUGGGGAGCGAACAGG
rnacentral:rRNA from 1 species